CCUACGGGGGGCAGCAGUGGGGAAUAUUGCGCAAUGGGCGAAAGCCUGACGCAGCGACGCCGCGUGAGGGAUGAAGGUCUUCGGAUCGUAAACCUCUGUCAGCAGGGAAGAACGGUCACUGUGCUAAUCAGCAGUGAAUUGACGGUACCUGCAAAGGAAGCACCGGCUAACUCCGUGCCAGCAGCCGCGGUAAUACGGAGGGUGCGAGCGUUAAUCGGAAUUACUGGGCGUAAAGCGCUCGUAGGCGGUAUGGCAAGUCAAGGGUGAAAUCCCCGCGCUCAACGUGGGAACUGCCUUUGAAACUGGCAAACUGGAGUGUGUGAGAGGAUAGUGGAAUUCCAGGUGUAGGAGUGAAAUGCGUAGAUAUCUGGAGGAACAUCAGUGGCGAAGGCGACUAUCUGGCACAUAACUGACGCUGAGGAGCGAAAGCGUGGGUAGCAAACAGGAUUAGAUACCCUGGUAGUC
rnacentral:rRNA from 1 species